rnacentral:rRNA from 1 species
CAAAAACAUGUCUCUUUGUGAAAUAUAGAUAAAGAGUCGGGCCUGCUCGGUGAAUAAGUUUUUAACAGCUGCGGUAUUUUAACUGUACUAAGGUAGCAUAAUAAUUUGCCUUAUAAUUUGAGGCUAGAAUGAAUGGUUUGACGAAGGUUAAUCUGUCUCCAUCUUAUUUUUUAGAAUUUAAUUUUUAAAGUGAAAAAGCUUAAAUUUUUUAAAGGGACGAGAAGACCCUAAUGAGCUUGUAAUUUUAUUGUUGUUAUUUAAAAUAUUUAGAUAGCAAUAUAUAAAUUUUAAUUGGGGUGAUUAAGGAAUAAGUUGAAUAUAGUAACUUCCUUAAAUUGAAUAUUUAUAGAUAAAGUAACCAAUAUAAUAUUGCUUAUAAUAUAGUUACCAUAGGGAUAACAGCGUAAUUCGUUUAGAGAGUUCUUAUUGAAAAACGAGAUUGCGACCUCGAUGUUGGAUUAAAGUAACCUUAAGGUGCAGAAGCUUUAGUAAGGUAAAUCUGUUCGA